rnacentral:rRNA from 1 species
GACGAACGCUGGCGGCGUGCUUAACACAUGCAAGUCGAACGGAAAGGCCCUGCUUUUGUGGGGUGCUCGAGUGGCGAACGGGUGAGUAACACGUGAGUAACCUGCCCUUGACUUUGGGAUAACUUCAGGAAACUGGGGCUAAUACCGGAUAGGAGCUCCUGCUGCAUGGUGGGGGUUGGAAAGUUUCGGCGGUUGGGGAUGGACUCGCGGCUUAUCAGCUUGUUGGUGGGGUAGUGGCUUACCAAGGCUUUGACGGGUAGCCGGCCUGAGAGGGUGACCGGCCACAUGGGGACUGAGAGACGGACCAGUCUCCUACGGGAGGCAGCAGUGGGGAAUAUUGCACAAUGGGCGGAAGCCUGAUGCAGCAACGCCGCGUGCGGGAUGACGGCCUUCUGGUUGUAAACCGCUUUCGCCUGUGACGAAGCGUGAGUGACGGUAAUGGGUAAAGAAGCACCGGCUAACUACGUG